CCUACGGGUGGCAGCAGUGGGGAAUUUUGGGCAAUGGCCGAAAGGCUGACCCAGCGACGCCGCGUGCGGGAGGACGCCCCUCGGGGUGUAAACCGCUGUCAGGGGGGACGAACCCUUCAGAUGCGAAUAGUGUCUGGAGCUGACGGUACCUCCAAAGGAAGCACCGGCUAACUCCGUGCCAGCAGCCGCGGUAAUACGGAGGGUGCGAGCGUUGUUCGGAAUCACUGGGCGUAAAGCGCGCGCAGGCGGGUAAUGCAAGUCGGGAGUGAAAUCUCGGGGCUCAACUCCGAGGCUGCUUCCGAAACUGCAGACCUGGAGACCGGUAGAGGUGGGUGGAAUUCCCGGUGUAGCGGUGGAAUGCGUAGAGAUCGGGAAGAACACCUGUGGCGAAGGCGGCCCACUGGGCCGGAUCUGACGCUGAGGCGCGAAAGCGUGGGGAG
rnacentral:rRNA from 1 species